CCUAAAAUUAAGCCUAACCCACCCCUAUGAAAACCACUUAUAACUAAACAACAAUAAAACAUUUUAUCAGUUUAGUAAAGGCGAUUAAAAAACUUUCUAGCGCUUUACUCCUAGUACCGCAAGGGAAAAAUGAAAUAGUUUUGAAACAGCCAUUAAGCAACCUAUAGCAGAGACUAUCACUCGUACCUUUUGCAUCAUGGUUUAGCUAGUCUUUUUCAAGCAAAGCGAAACAUCAGUUUGACCCCCCGAAACUAAGCGAGCUACUUCAAAACAGCUCAAUAGAGCCAACCCGUCUCUGUCGCAAAAGAGUGGGACGAUUUUUAAGUAGAGGUGAAAAGCCUACCGAGCUUAGAGAUAGCUGGUUAUUCAAGAAAAGAAUUUUAGUUCUACCUUAAGUUUCUGUAUUAACCCUAUAAACCACUCAAACUUAAGAGCUAUUCAAAUGAGGCACAGCUUAUUUGAAAAAGGAUACAACCUACAAAAAAGGGUAAAACCCCCCCCAAAAAAUAAGUGGGCCUAAAAGCAGCCACCUUUAAGAAAGCGUUAAAGCUCCUUUUUCAAAAAUCUCCAAUACCAAAACACACCUUUAACCCUUUAUUCCUACUGAAUGAUUUUAUACUCACUAUAGAAGCCCCAAUGCUAAAACUAGUAACAAGAAAUUGACUUUCUCCAAAAUACAAGCAUAAACCAAAAUGGACAAACCAUUGGUUAUUAACGUUAAUUAAAUUCAUAUAGCAACUAUACCAAGAAAACACUAUUAUUAGCUAUUACGUUAACCUUACACAAGUGUACUUCCGGAAAGAUUUAAAGAGGGGGAAGGAACUCGGCAAAUAAUAACCUCGCCUGUUUACCAAAAACAUCGCCUCUUGAUAAAAUAUAAGAGGUCCAGCCUGCCCAGUGAUAUAAUUAAACGGCCGCGGUACCCUGACCGUGCAAAGGUAGCAUAAUCACUUGUUCUCUAAAUAGGGACUCGUAUCAACGGCAUCACGAGGGUUAUACUGUCUCCCCCCUCUAAUCAGUGAAACUGACCUCCCCGUGAAGAGGCGGGGAUAUUUAUACAAGACGAGAAGACCCCAUGGAGCUUUAAACCCAAUAACAACCUUCACCAAAAUAUCUUAAAAAUGAAGAGGUACUGUUUAUUGGUUUUAGGUUGGGGUGACCACGGAGAAAAACUAAACCUCCAUGACGAAUGGACCUUAAACCUAAUCUAAGAGCCACUACUCCAAGAAUCAUUAAUUUGACAUAAUUUGAUCCGGCAACCGAUCAACGAACCAAGUUACCCUGGGGAUAACAGCGCAAUCCAUUUCAAGAGCCCCUAUCGACAAAUGGGUUUACGACCUCGAUGUUGGAUCAGGGUAUCCCAGUGGUGCAGCCGCUACUAAAGGUUUGUUUGUUUCACCAUUAAAAC
rnacentral:rRNA from 1 species